rnacentral:rRNA from 1 species
UGCAGUCGAACGGUGACGACGGGGCUUGCUCUGUCUGAUCAGUGGCGAACGGGUGAGUAACACGUGAGUAACCUGCCCCCGACUCUGGAAUAACCGUGGGAAACGACGGCUAAUACCGGAUAUGAGACGCACGGGCAUCUGUGUGUCUGGAAAGAUUUAUCGGUCAGGGAUGGACUCGCGGCCUAUCAGCUUGUUGGUGGGGUAAUGGCCUACCAAGGCGACGACGGGUAGCCGGCCUGAGAGGGCGACCGGCCACACUGGGACUGAGAUACGGCCCAGACUCCUACGGGAGGCAGCAGUGGGGAAUAUUGCACAAUGGGCGCAAGCCUGAUGCAGCGACGCCGCGUGAGGGAUGAAGGCCUUCGGGUUGUAAACCUCUUUCAGCAGGGAAGAAGCGAAAGUGACGGUACCUGCAGAAGAAGCGCCGGCUAACUACGUGCCAGCAGCCGCGGUAAUACGUAGGGCGCAAGCGUUGUCCGGAAUUAUUGGGCGUAAAGAGCUCGUAGGCGGUUUGUCGCGUCUGCUGUGAAAACCUGAGGCUCAACCUCGGGCUUGCAGUGGGUACGGGCAGACUAGAGUGCGGUAGGGGUGACUGGAAUUCCUGGUGUAGCGGUGGAAUGCGCAGAUAUCAGGAGGAACACCGAUGGCGAAGGCAGGUCACUGGGCCGCAACUGACGCUGAGGAGCGAAAGCAUGGGGAGCGAACAGGAUUAGAUACCCUGGUAGUCCAUGCCGUAAACGUUGGGCACUAGGUGUGGGGCUCAUUCCACGAGUUCCGUGCCGCAGCAAACGCAUUAAGUGCCCCGCCUGGGGAGUACGGCCGCAAGGCUAAAACUCAAAGAAAUUGACGGGGGCCCGCACAAGCGGCGGAGCAUGCGGAUUAAUUCGAUGCAACGCGAAGAACCUUACCAAGGCUUGACAUACACCGGAAAAGUGCAGAGAUGUGCUCCCCGCAAGGUCGGUGUACAGGUGGUGCAUGGUUGUCGUC